CCUGCGGAGGGAUCAUUACCGAGUUUACAACUCCCAAACCCAAUGUGAACGUUACCAAACUGUUGCCUCGGCGGGAUCUCUGCCCCGGGUGCGUCGCAGCCCCGGACCAAGGCGCCCGCCGGAGGACCAACCAAAACUCUUUUUGUAUACCCCCUCGCGGGUUUUUUAUAAUCUGAGCCUUCUCGGCGCCUCUCGUAGGCGUUUCGAAAAUGAAUCAAAACUUUCAACAACGGAUCUCUUGGUUCUGGCAUCGAUGAAGAACGCAGCGAAAUGCGAUAAGUAAUGUGAAUUGCAGAAUUCAGUGAAUCAUCGAAUCUUUGAACGCACAUUGCGCCCGCCAGUAUUCUGGCGGGCAUGCCUGUCCGAGCGUCAUUUCAACCCUCGAACCCCUCCGGGGGGUCGGCGUUGGGGAUCGGCCCUGCCUCUUGGCGGUGGCCGUCUCCGAAAUACAGUGGCGGUCUCGCCGCAGCCUCUCCUGCGCAGUAGUUUGCACACUCGCAUCGGGAGCGCGGCGCGUCCACAGCCGUUAAACACCCAACUUCUGAAAUGUUGACC
rnacentral:rRNA from 1 species